CGAUAAGUCGAGUUGUUACAAACCGAAUGACGCGAUUAGUAUACCCCCUCCCAUCAUAUGGCUUUUAUAAACGACUUUUGUUCAAGCAACAAGCACAGCAUCCGCAACAAAGCAACAAAUCUUCCCAGCCAAAGUAGUGUUUCCGACUGCCAAACCUGAUAUGGGGGUGCACAUAUGUCUGCUAAAGAUUCCUUUUAUUACAAAUUCACCCACAGUAGUUCUUCGUUAGGAUAAUUUUCAGGUUCUUCAUCAGCUAGUGUCUCUGGUUCAUUGGUUCGUUCAGCCAAUAGUUAGUUAUGGAUAGAUUCUACAUAUCAGACAACAAAGAGUGGAUUUAAGAAGGCGAGUAUGAAUGAAGUUCAUAAUUUACGACGCCGUUGCACGCAAACCGAAAAUAGUCCUUUUGAAUUUUGUUAUCUUGAACUUGUUGUAAAUUCAUGGAAAGAUAAUUUAUCUGCCCUGGGAGAUUCGCUAUGCAUAACAUUACCUCCAACUUCCGUUUGAGUUUCAGUUCCUUCGUUGAUAAAGUACUGAUGCCAUAUGACUCUACUAUCACCAGAAGUAUCUGCCAUAACUACACUACCCUAUACAUCACUUAAAACAUGCUACUUACUUUUUGGGUAUAGUAGAGACAUAAGGCAUCAGUACUUUGUCAACGAAGGAGCCGAAACCCAAACGGAAAUUGGAGGUAAUAUUACGCAUAGUUUCGGAAAGUAAAUCACCCAAAGCAGAUAAUUUCUCUUUGUCAUCUUCCAUAGAUUUUGACAAGUCCAUAAGAUAAUAUAAAUCAACGGGAUAAUCUUCGGCUUGUGAGUAACGGAAUUGUAAAUUAUGGACUUCAUCUGGAAUGGAGUAAUAACAAUUUGUUAGCAUUAGUGUAUGACUCUCUUAAACUAUUCACCGUUACUUACUCAUACGCAAUUUUAAAUUCACUCUCUGUGGACUAAUUUGUACAAUUUCCCCAUAGCUACUGGCUGAAGCUGAUGAACCAUGGGCACUGGCAGAUGAAGAGCUGGAAAAUGAUCCCGACAUAGAACUGCUGUAGGAGGAAUUGUAAUAAUAGGAACCUCCAGAUGACAUUUGACCACCACCCAUCAUAGCAGCACCCCCACUUGCUCGACUCAGCUCUUGACUGACCAGAAUUUCUUGUAUGGUCUUUGGAUUUUGUAUGUAUUGGGCACUACAAAAAUUAUUCAUAUAUUCCGAGAAGCAUCUGGGUUUGUCGCCAUGAUUUGGAUCCGAACACCAGGCACACUCUAGUGUCUGUAUACAUUCGUGACAGGUGGCUUUGUUAACGCAGGCAUUUUGGGUUAAUUUGCCGGCCAAUUGACUUUCAGCCGCAAGCACAAAACACAAUAGAAGAAAUGUUGCUAACGCCAGCGUCUGCAGGCGUAGUUUGGAAGAUAUCAUGUUUGGCUAUUGGAAAACUAAAGUUUCGUUGAUUGGUUGCUGUUGCUUAAACUAGAGUCGUUCGUUUACUGAAAUGGCAGAAAAGCAAAGAAUUCAAAUAAGCAAAGAGUAUGAAAUGAAAUUCUAUUGUGCCAUAAAUAACAAUAUCUAUUAAAUAUUUAGUCAUCUCAA